CGAGCGGAUGAAGGGAGCUUGCUCCUGGAUUCAGCGGCGGACGGGUGAGUAAUGCCUAGGAAUCUGCCUGGUAGUGGGGGAUAACGUCCGGAAACGGGCGCUAAUACCGCAUACGUCCUGAGGGAGAAAGUGGGGGAUCUUCGGACCUCACGCUAUCAGAUGAGCCUAGGUCGGAUUAGCUAGUUGGUGGGGUAAAGGCCUACCAAGGCGACGAUCCGUAACUGGUCUGAGAGGAUGAUCAGUCACACUGGAACUGAGACACGGUCCAGACUCCUACGGGAGGCAGCAGUGGGGAAUAUUGGACAAUGGGCGAAAGCCUGAUCCAGCCAUGCCGCGUGUGUGAAGAAGGUCUUCGGAUUGUAAAGCACUUUAAGUUGGGAGGAAGGGCAGUAAGUUAAUACCUUGCUGUUUUGGCGUUACCAACAGAAUAAGCACCGGCUAACUUCGUGCCAGCAGCCGCGGUAAUACGAAGGGUGCAAGCGUUAAUCGGAAUUACUGGGCGUAAAGCGCGCGUAGGUGGUUCAGCAAGUUGGAUGUGAAAUCCCCGGGCUCAACCUGGGAACUGCAUCCAAAACUACUGAGCUAGAGUACGGUAGAGGGUGGUGGAAUUUCCUGUGUAGCGGUGAAAUGCGUAGAUAUAGGAAGGAACACCAGUGGCGAAGGCGACCACCUGGACUGAUACUGACACUGAGGUGCGAAAGCGUGGGGAGCAGACAGGAUU
rnacentral:rRNA from 1 species